UACGAAGGGGGCUAGCGUUGCUCGGAAUCACUGGGCGUAAAGCGCACGUAGGCGGGUUGCUAAGUCAGGGGUGAAAUCCUGGAGCUCAACUCCAGAACUGCCUUUGAUACUGGCGGCCUCGAGUCCGGGAGAGGUGAGUGGAACUGCGAGUGUAGAGGUGAAAUUCGUAGAUAUUCGCAAGAACACCAGUGGCGAAGGCGGCUCACUGGCCCGGUACUGACGCUGAGGUGCGAAAGCGUGGGGAGCAAACGGG
rnacentral:rRNA from 1 species